rnacentral:rRNA from 1 species
UGGGGAAUUUUGGACAAUGGGCGCAAGCCUGAUCCAGCCAUGCCGCGUGCGGGAAGAAGGCCUUCGGGUUGUAAACCGCUUUUGUCAGGGAAGAAAUCUUCUGAGUUAAUACCUCGGGAGGAUGACGGUACCUGAAGAAUAAGCACCGGCUAACUACGUGCCAGCAGCCGCGGUAAUACGUAGGGUGCAAGCGUUAAUCGGAAUUACUGGGCGUAAAGCGUGCGCAGGCGGUUUUGUAAGACAGAGGUGAAAUCCCCGGGCUCAACCUGGGAACUGCCUUUGUGACUGCAAGGCUUGAGUGCGGCAGAGGGGGAUGGAAUUCCGCGUGUAGCAGUGAAAUGCGUAGAUAUGCGGAGGAACACCGAUGGCGAAGGCAAUCCCCUGGGCCUGCACUGACGCUCAUGCACGAAAGCGUGGGGAGCAAACAGGAUUAGAUAGCCCUGGUAGUCCACGCCCUAAACGAUGUCAACUGGUUGUUGGGAAGGUUCCUUCUCAGUAACGUAGCUAACGCGUGAANUUGACCGCCUGGGGAGUACGGCCGCAAGGUUGAAACUCAAAUGAAUUGAC